AUUGGUCUUGUACGGUGUGAAUUCUGAGAUUAAAUCAACAAAACAACCUUAAAUAAACUUUCCUAGUAGAUAAUAAAUGACGAAUUACAAUAAAUAUCAGAAGUCAAAGUUGAUAAAAACUGAAAGCAAAAGCUGGAGUAUGCAUAGAACACAAUCAAAUUGGCAAAUAAUAAUGAUGACGAAGAUAUAUCAGCAGACAUAAAU
rnacentral:misc_RNA from 1 species